CUGAAGCCUCAGCUCCUCCAGUGUCUGCAGCUGCUCCGCUCGGGCAGCCAGCGUGUCCACCUGCUCCUGCAGCGUCUCCAUGGUAACCGUCAACCUGCCGUGACGCAACACAUGCUUUGCUGGCAAAACAUUCCGACAGGUUCUGCGAGUCACAGAGAGUCUAAGCAGACGACAGCACAGCGGCUAACGUUAGCAUCAGGCUAACGUUUCACUGAAGGAGUGAAGUUAAAAGCAUGUGGCUUGAGCUGGAGCAGGAUCUGGGCGGGACGGCCAGCACUCACCUGUCAAUCUUCUGCUGCGAGGUCUUGCUCUCCAGGACCAGCUUCUCAUUGGUGAUCUCCAGCUCCCGCGCCAUCACGUCCAGCUGCUCGUACACUUUGGCGUGCUGCUCGUUCAUCUCGCGCAGCGUCUCCAGCUGCUUGGACAGGUACUGGCAAGACAGCAGGCGUUAGGUGGCGCCGUGCCGCCGGGGGCCUCGCCCAGCUCACCUCCAUCUCCUGCACCUGCUCCUCAUUGUUGAUGUACAUUUGCUGAAGAGAGUCCUCCAGGUCUUUGUUCCGCUCCAGGAGAGUCUUGCCCAGCUCCGCUGCCAGGUGCAGGUCUAGGCAGAGAACACGCUGAGUCAGCACCAGCUUCAUGUCCUAACACCAUGAGCUGCCGGGCUCUUCAGGGCUCACUGUCCUGGGACCAAAUCUGAGACCAAACUCCACCAUGCUUCUUUGGCGCUCACGCAUUUGUAGAACAAAUGGAAACCGUGGAACCUGAGACGUCAUGCUUGUCAUCAGCGCUGCACAGUAAAGAAUCACUACCAACCUGCACGGCAACAGUCGAUGCAUGAAUUCCCAUUGGUCCCGCUGGACCAACCUGCUUCGAAAAGUCCACUUUGGUGGCACUAGAACGAGUCGUUUCUGUUUUCGGGGGCAAUGUUAAUCCCCAAACAUCCACACAUCAACAGGCCCAGUCACAUGACCCAGGGUUUGGUCCCCCGGUGUGGGACUCGUGAAAGGCCUUCAUGCCUCAGCAGUGUCGCGCACCGAGAUCCUCACCUGCAGCUGUUGUCCACGUUGCUACGACGGCAAAAUCAGACUACGCCAGAUAAUCCAGAGACAAAAGCGAGGAAAACAGAGAAAAGGAGAGGAUUGGGCGUCCACCUCUGCGAGAGGUCGGCAGGUGACAGCAGGGUCAUUUGUUUCCAAAUAAGAGACAAAAAUCAUUCUUAAAAAUGAGCUCUUGAAGACCUACACUUGACCUCUUGACCUUUGUUGGAAAGAGGCUCCAGAUGAUCAGCUGAUCCCGGAAAUGGAGCCUUAAAAUCGGCUCACGUUGAACUCCAGUCUGAGCAGCACUGUGAGCUAACGGCUAACGCUCGUUCCUGAUCCACGGUUUCCCCCAGAAUGACUCUAGUUUGAAUCGUCACGUUCCCUCAGCGGGUCCUGCGAGGAGGCGGCGCCACAGGGGGGCGCCUGUGAGCAGUUUGGAAGGCUUCUGUGGAAGCUCAACAGAAAUGACUAAAAAGAAAAAACAGAAAUGACACCCCGCACAGUCCAGACACAGGUAAGAGUGAGCGCCCCCGGGAGCCGAGGUCAGGGGUGUAGGCUCAGGCGGAUCUUACCUUGUUCCAGGUCCCGCUGAUCGUACCAGGUCUCCUCUUCGUCCGUCACGAACUCGGCCAUCGUCCCGGCUCCCUGUUCCGCAGCCGGACUCAGUGGCAGCGCUCCAUCAGUCCGAGCUUCCUCCCGAGCAGCGGCUCCAUCAGGGCGUCGCUCUCUGGUGCUGCUCGGUGCCUGGCUCCUCAAGCCCUGAACGAUUUCUGACAGAAAGAAAUCCCUCGCAUAGAGUAAAGAAAAGAAGCUCGUUUUUUACCUCGGAGAUUCAAAGACAACAUUGUUCGACAUCGUUGUCUUGACCUUCUUGAAAUUCAUUCGAAGUCAUCAAGUGAAAGCCGGAAGAGAGUAUGGUAAUUAUGGCAAAAAUAAUUUGGAGCGAAACUUUAGCCGCACGGCAAAGCAGGUGCAGCGUUCAAAUGCGCUCGUUUCAUGAGGCAACUGGUCAAAUUGCAGUUUAAAAGAAACACGUUACGAACGUGCUCGGCUUGCAAAUGGUAGAAAAGAGCAAAAGUCAGAGAAUAUUCAUAUGUGAGGGUGAAUAUCAGGCUCGAAUUCGAACCCCUUUUGUCUCACUCUGAGUUUGGCGCCUCCGAUUCAUUACGAAAGGCCAGUGCGUUGAACUACACAAAAAACACUGGCGUCGCACGCAGAUUCGAUGAAGUUGACCAUUUCUGUCAGAGUCCGCGGCGCAAACUCCCAACGUUGCUCCUCGCACUUGAAGGCAGCAUCAGUGGAGGUGACGUCAUAGAGUAGUUACGAGCAGCUUCCCAUUCUUCGUCGAGUUGUCGAGUCACCUCCGAUCUCUGGGCUUACGUGCUGUCCACUAUUUAUUUACAGCGAAUUUGUUAAAUAUUCCAACACAAUAGCGUUUGUUGAAAUGUUUAAUAUUGACGCGAGAAAUUAAGUUUAAAACAUAGCAAAAUUACAAAAUAUUUCCUCUAAGAAUUCUGAGCAACAGAGAAAAGCCUUUAAAACAGCGUUUAUAGUUAGAUAUUUUCACCAUUUAAUUUGAAAACCAUUCACAUAAAUAAAAACAAUUGAAAUAAUGCAUCACUUCAUGAAGACAAACAGGCGUCAGCUACUUUAUUCAGCAAAGCAGAGGACGCCACGCAGACCAUCCUGAGAAGCACAGAGGUGAAUAAUUCUCAAAAAUAGAAAACUAAAGUUCAACGAAAAUAGCAGCAAUAGGCAGGAGCCUCCACUGAGGGCCUCCAACUGAAGUCCACGACUACGGGCUCCCCCUCACUGCUUGCUCUGGCUGGUCUUGGAGCUGUGCAGCAGCCUCAGGUGCGUCCAGUCCGCCUCGCUCUCGCAGCGCUGCACUUGGCUGAAGAACUUCUUGAUGAGAGCUUUGGCUUCUGCCUUGACUGAAGACACUGCCGCAUGAGGGCAAAGGAAGUAGUCACAUGACCAACACUCACUCACCUUCUGGCUUGGGUCGGCUCCUGCCCUCAGCGAGAAGAUGAGACAGGAAGCGAGCGAAAGCCUUGAACAGCUCCUGCAAACCAAAGAGUGAAGAGCUGAGGAGGCCCCUGAAGGCGCCAGCGGCCGAGCGCUGCACAAGUGCCCCCACCUUGUUGGCAAACUUCCCUUGAGUGUAGAACGGGUCAAGGUAGCGCACCACCACGUCGGCAGCUUCCUUCAAGCUGGCGGGCGUCUGCAGCGUGGGGUUAAAGGUCACUGUGCGGCGGUUCCUCUUGGCCGGGGGAGGGGCCUCCUCCACGCACUGCAGAGACACCGGAAUCAGCAAGGUGUGGAUAAGUCUCCAGCUCAGCAGAGCAGCACCCACCUCCUGCUGCGACACGACUCGCUCGCCCGCACCUUUGGCCCCGUGUCUGUGAGAGGAGCAUCACAACGUCUGCGACGUUUGCUACACAAACCCUCUCACACACACGCCACUUACUCUGCACUUCCCUGAGGAUCCUGAGCCUCCUGCUCAGCUCCAACCAGCAGCAGCUCCGACUCGGUUCCUCUGUCGCUCCUCUCCUCACACACCUGCUCACCUUCCCUCCUCACCUCAGCUGGUCUCUUCCCAAAGUAGUGAGCGAUGGUGCGCGUGCCCUUGGCCGCUGCCGCCAGCUUCUGCUGUUUCUUGAUCAGCGAGGUGGAGGCUGCAGCUUUGUCUCUGAUGCUGGACGUGACGGCGGCCUCGCAGCUCUUCUCCUCGCUGAGCGCCUCCUUCUUCAGCAGAUCUUUGCCAAUCAAGAAGGGGUUCGAAGCUCCGGAGCCGACUCCUACUCUCCUCGGCUUCAUCUGGAGGAAGACUUGAUGAGACUGCAUGUGGCAGGUGAGGAGGCGUGUGACCUCACCGAGUAGAGCGCUGCCGCCGACAUGAAGCCCUGCAGCUCCUCACUGGACCCUUCUCCAUGGCACUCGGUCCUCUCUCCUCCUCCUCCACCUGCUGCUGCUGCAGGUGCCUUCUUCAUCUCUGACACCUGGACAGUAAAACCAUCAAGAGCAAAACUGACUCUGGUCUCUGCCCCGCCUUGUCUACCUUCUUGAGAACAGACGCUUUGUACAAGUUGGCAGCUUUGCUGCUCUUGAAGACCUCGUACUCCAGAUCCACAGCUGCGGAGAGACGGUCGCCACUGCCGGGCGAGAGGUGGCUCAGUCAGGAGUCGCUUCACACUUGCAUCCUCCUGAGGUUUACCUGGGAGACUUGUCCGCCCCCUGGUGGCCGUACAGCGCCUCCUGCAGGAGAUGCAGGCAGUGCUCCCUGGCCUGACACAACAGCAGGUCACAUCCACACAGCUCCGCCAGGACGGUCUGAGUGUGUGAGAGUCACCUUCACAGUGAGUCGAGGGAUCUUCUGGCUGCAGGCGUCUCUGAGCGGACAAUCGGGAUCUGUGGCACACGAGAGCAGGAGGAGAACCAUGUUGACCCAUCUGACCGGCCACAUGAGGAAGCCUUACCUGGAGGAGGGAAGUGGUCCUGAGGCUGCUCACUGCCCUGCGGCACAGAGAGCGGGUCAGGCUGACACAGGUCCAGUGCAACUCGGGGUCACUCACCUUCCGCAGGCUCAUCUGCUUCUUGAACAGGUCAGAAAACUCCUUCUUCCUCUUGGCAGGGUCCUCCUCCCCGUGGCCUUCUCCUUCGUCCUCAUCGUACCUGACAAUGCAAGAGCCGGAUCAAGGCGCGUUCCAGACAGACAGCAUCACCACGCGGCCUCUUGCCUCUCGAAGCCGUAGCCCUUCUUCCCGCCUUCGUAGAGGCUGGCACGGAACCCAAACGGGCCGCUGGGCUCAUCCGCUUUGGCCUGAGUCCUGGUGCUGAGUGCCGACGCCUUCUCCAGCUGGGCCCGCACCACUUUGGGGUUGCUGCAGAAGUCACAGGCGCCGGCACAGUUUGGCGCCUUGUCCCCGAAAUACUUGGAGAUGGAGGUGUGACGGCAGCUGGCGGAGAGAACAGGUAAACACAAGAGCCUCAGCCUGUGACGCCACAGCUGCUGGGACAUGCAAGCUCUGGAGGAGCAGCUCUGGGGCAGCAGCUCUGGAGGAGUGGGCUGCACUCGACACUAGAUGUCGCUGAUCUAGGUCAACAUCGACCGUUCCAGUGAAACAAUGACACAAAUCAAUAGCUGCGGACUCACUGGGCUCACGUGUCAACAACUGUGACUCCAAACCAGUCAGUCAGAGCCAGACUCGACUAGACAGGUGCCUCCCACUGAGCUUCCUCCCCAGCGCUCAGACUGGGUCGGACUGCGGAGCAGCGAGGACUCGCGCAGGAUGGAGCCCAGACGCCACGUCCUAGAGAUGGCCAACAAGUUUGCGGCUAAACUCUCUGACGGUGAUCCGCUGGAGAUGGGAGCGUUCAUCAUCCUGGUGACCUUCAUCGCGGUGGUUCUGCUGAUGGCCCUGCUGCCCUGUGUGUCCUUCUGCUGCAGCACAGGCCGCAAGUGACGGCGAGUCGGAGGCGUGUGUCAGUCAUCAGUGUGUGCAGAGUAGCAGUGAGAGGCCAAACCUUCUAUCAACACACACACGGAUGUUUGAGCGACACCGUGGCGCAGCUCCACACCUGUCCACACACAAACUACCACCUCAACCUCGCAGGACCGCUUCCUCCCUCCACGCCGCCACUCCAGUCACUUGAUCCACCACCACGGUACAGCAAUGGGACCCUCAGCCACUAGGACUUUAAUAUCGGUUACUAUGGCGAUGUCUGACUGUGUAUUUCAACCCUGCUCUUGGUUCUUCAUCUCAUGUAUUCUGUCAGUCUCUGUUGGGGAGUUUACAUUAUUUAUUGUCACGUGACUUCAUCUCAUUCCCUUCAAUAAAGUUAG